GACCAAAUGAAUCCGCAAGAGAUCCAAUUAUAUAUCGACUUGUGCUGUGAAACAAACCGCUGAACAAACCGCUCAGAAAAGUCAAAAUGAAGUUUUGGUUUUUCCUCGGUUUUUUCUUUACUUUUCUCUUCGGAAUUAUAUAUACUAUUCGCCUAAAGAGAUCCAUAUAUAGUGAAACGGACCUUACAGAGACAGAGAAUUUCAAUAUAGAAAAAAGCAAAAUUAAAGGCCGUUUCCGUAAAGAAGACCAAGGCCGAUUUUCGACCCCGAUUCAAUUGAUUUUCAUUGAAAUAUCAUGUAGGGUGAAUAAGGCAUGAGAAAACAUUAUUUCUAACUAUUUUUAAUCAUCAAGUGUCAAACGUGGAAAGUCUUGAAGCGAUGUUGUUUCCAUUGGCUUCCAAAUAAUCUUCUACUUAGUCCAUCCUUUUUUCAGAACUUUCUGUUCAAGAUUACUGCAGCACAUCCAAACGAUGAAAUAAUAGUAAAUCGUAUGUCGACACUUAACCUCCAACCAAAUAAUCUUGAACAGAGAAAGAAAAAUGGAUUAAGAAGGAAAUUAUUUAAAAGCCAAUGGAAGCAACAGCGCUUGAAGACUUUUCACGUUUGAUGACUUUUCACUCGAUGAUUUGACACGAUUAACUCUCGAUGUCCAUAAAGUAAAACAAGCGAAAUUAUAUACAGAAGAAUAUUUAGAAGAGGACGUUCUUUAUGCAUUAUCAAUUUACAGAGAAAGCGAGAAUAUAGUUCGUAUUCGUCUUUAGUUGUUGUCUUUCCUGCAUUUGCCUCAAUCUGCGUUUGAAUUCCGUUAAAUCGUGCAAAAUUCGAGGAAUAUCGUCAUUUCAGCUGAUGGUGCACUGUUGGCCUACAGUUAAUCAUUACGUCAUGGUUUGUGCACACGUCUAGAAUUAUCACAUAGUUCGUAGAAAUAAUUUGGAUUCGGUACUUCGCAUUUUGCUCGCGUCAGUAGGUGUAUCAUCAUUUUUGUACAGUAUAUAUUCCUCCUUCUAUAUGAUGUUAUUUUUUCUAUUAGAAAUUGUGUUUUCUCAUGCCUUAUUCACUCUGAAUGAUAUUCCAAUGAAAAUCAAUUGAAUCGAUGUGGUGCCGAAAAUCAGCCUCAUGAAGCCUAGGCUAAAAAUUAUACACUGAAAUAUCCAGCUCGUUACCCACGAACCACGACGUCACCGUAGACAGAUUCAUUUACCCAUUUUAUCCCUUGGGGAUCUGAUACAAAAGAUGGGAUUUAUAAAUGAACAAUCUAUAAAUAAUACUGAAAUAAUUUAUCCAUUAUAUUUCAUUUAACAUUGAUUCCAACGGACGUUCUAACAUAACCUUUGUCACAAUGAAGUGGGGUCGUCACAAGUGGGGACACAGCGUCUUAAAAUAUUCAACCAGAACAGUCGACAUAUAAGGCGCGGGAGUGUACAACAUAAAUAAUCGACAGUGAAUCCGGAAGAGAUCCAAUUAUAUAUCGAAAUUAUAUACUGUGAAACUCGUUGAACAAAUCGCUCAGAAAAGUAAAAAUGAGGUUUUGGUUUUUCCUCGGUUUUUUCUUUAUUUUUUUCGUCGAAAUCAUAUAUACUAUUCCCAUGAGUAGAUUGAUACAUGAUGAAAUGGACCUUACAGAGGCAAAGAACAACACCUAUAUAGAACAAAUUUUAAACAGUACACAUAUCUACAAUAACUCUUCUCGUAGUAAGAGGCAUGUUAUAGAUAUAGGGUCUAGAUUGACUGGUUGUUCGACGGGGCGUAUAAAUGAAGAAUAUGUCAAAAAACUGUUCAAUGCGUCGAUUGCCGAAUGUUGGAACACAAUCGAUAAUCAAACAAGAGAGAAUAUGUUUAAAGAAUUUCGUGACAAAAGAUUGUAUUGCUUGUCACAAAAGUUAAAUAUUUGCUAAAAAAUCCUCGUUCCAAAUAUUGACAUAUCGUCAGAGACGUUAACAAAUAACCUCUGACCCAAUGAAGUUGGAUAUACCACGCACCGUUCCUUAAUGUAUUCAACCAGAUCAAUAUGCGAGACGCAAUGUGCGAGUGUGUACAACAUGAUAAAUCGACAAAAUGAAUCUGCGAGAGAUGCAAUUAUAUAUCGACUUAUGCUGUGAAACUCGUUGAACAAAUCGCUCAGAAAAGUCAAAAUGAGGUUUUGGUUUUUCUUUGGUUUUUUCUUUAUUUUUCUCAUCGAAAUCAUAUAUACUAUAAGUACUUUACACGCAAAUUAAUAAACUUACUAAUCUCAAAAAGAUUUAAAUUAGUGUCCGAAACGUCUUGCUUAUUACAUGAUUUGAACAGUUCAAAUUUGAAAAUCGUACUCGAAAUUAUUUCGACUUUAGAGUCGGUUUCACCAACUCCGGUUAAACCAACCUACGGUUAAAUUCUAACUACCAGAAGUGCCAAUAGAUUGAAUAUAAAUUGUCCAUUGAGGUUCAGUAUGACACUGUUAUUGGCACGUCACAUUUAAGUUGGCUACUCUGCUACUUUUAACCCUCGGUUAGCUUAACCGGAGUUGGUGAAACCGACGCUUAGAAACUUAAAGACAUGCAAUCCGACAUACUAACUUUAAUACUUUUUAGCUCUAAUUUCAAUUACAUUUCUGCAUUAGGCGUAAUAUGUAAUUAUUCAUAUACCAUUCCUACAUAAACAGAGAUACUGAACAUAUCAUGCAAUUAUUUAAUAUAUACUUUAUGAUGUUAUUGUAAGUAGAGCAAAAAAUGUGUUUAAAAUAUGAUUGUUUUUUUAAUCUUUCGAUUCUCAUGUUAAUUUCAUGGAUAUAAAUUCACAAAACAGGCGAAUGGCUCGCCCCGAAGAAAUAAGUUAUAUUUUCUUGAAAAUUGUAUAUAAUAUACAUUUUUUUGUCUCAAACGAAAGCUUAUGACUUAAAAAUUAAUGAGAAAAAUCACAAAAAUUAUCAAAAUUUUCUGACAAUUAAUCUAAAAAAUUAUUUGUGGGCGAACGAUUCGUUUGGGAGCCGCAAAUUUAAAAAAAAUACCUAUUUAUUAUGCCAUAAUUUUAAUUAAAAUAUUUAAUAUUUUUAUUAAUAUAAUAAUGAAGUACGAAAUACAUUCUCUUUCCGACGAAAUAAACAAAAAUUUUCGUGACAUCAAAGUAUUGCCGCUCUAGUGUCAGAAUUUUUAUGGCACCACAGAUGAUUUUUUUCUAUACACUAUAAACAGCGGCUUGAAUUUAAUUCUAGAAACUUCGUAUGCAAGCGAUUCGAGAUCAUACCACUAUUGAGUGAUAUGUAAUAAUAUUUGUAUGACAAUAGAAUGUAAACAAUUUUUGUCAAAAUAAUAUAGGCAGUAUCGACGAUUCUACAACGAAUCGCCGUCAUGUUAGAGGGAAAUCAUUGCAAUUGUUCAAGAAUCAUCUUCAGAAAAGGGAUGAUGAAUAUAUAAAUUAUCUUGCAAAUAAAAGAGGCGGAUUUUCUUGCGGAAGAUCGCUUACGGUCUGCCAAGUAUCGCUUACGAUUACUGUUUACGAAGUUAAGUGUAGGAGUAGGACCCGCGAGUAGGAUACGCGCGAGCGGCGUAUAAAUAUAUAUAUUUUUGUAAAGAGCAUUUAAAUACAUAUCUUCUAAUUCUUAACGUUAA